CCUACGGGGGGCAGCAGUGGGGAAUAUUGGACAAUGGGGGGAACCCUGAUCCAGCCAUGCCGCGUGUGUGAAGAAGGCCCUCGGGUUGUAAAGCACUUUCAGUGAGGAAGAACGCCUGGUGGUUAAUACCCAUCAGGAAAGACAUCACUCACAGAAGAAGCACCGGCUAACUCCGUGCCAGCAGCCGCGGUAAUACGGAGGGUGCGAGCGUUAAUCGGAAUUACUGGGCGUAAAGCGCGCGUAGGUGGCUUGAUAAGCCGGUUGUGAAAGCCCCGGGCUCAACCUGGGAACGGCAUCCGGAACUGGCAAGCUAGAGUGCAGGAGAGGAAGGUAGAAUUCCCGGUGUAGCGGUGAAAUGCGUAGAGAUCGGGAGGAAUACCAGUGGCGAAGGCGGCCUUCUGGACUGACACUGACACUGAGGUGCGAAAGCGUGGGUAGCAAACAGGAUUAGAUACCCGAGUAGUC
rnacentral:rRNA from 1 species